rnacentral:rRNA from 1 species
GCUAAGUCGGGAAUGGAUAAACGCUGAAAGCAUCUAAGCGUGAAGCCAACCUCAAGAUGAGAUUUCCCAUAGCGUAAGCUAGUAAGAUCCCUUGAAGAACACAAGGUUGAUAGGUCGGGGGUGUAAGCAUGGUGACAUGUUCAGCUGACCGAUACUAAUAGAUCGAGGGCUUGACCAAAUA